rnacentral:lncRNA from 1 species
UGCCUCAUAAUUUCUACAUUUAAUUCUGACAUAUGAUAAUUAAGGAAAUAGUGGAAACUGAAGAGAUUGUUAAGAGUCUUAAAGAAGAAAGACUCUCCAUCUUCUUUAAUGCAUAAAAGAGGGCGGGUGGCAUUAAUUUUGGUGUGGACACUAGGGUGGCAUGGAGGAAUCCUUCUACACUUGAAACUCUUCCAAGUUAGGUAGGAGUCCA